UGGGCGUAAGGGCUCGCAGGCGGUUUCUUAAGUCUGAUGUGAAAGCCCCCGGCUCAACCGGGGAGGGUCAUUGGAAACUGGGGAACUUGAGUGCAGAAGAGGAGAGUGGAAUUCCACGUGUAGCGGUGAAAUGCGUAGAGAUGUGGAGGAACACCAGUGGCGAAGGCGACUCUCUGGUCUGUAACUGACGCUGAGGAGCGAAAGCGUGGGGAGCGAACAGGAUUAGAUACCCUGGUAGUCCACGCCGUAAACGAUGAGUGCUAAGUGUUAGGGGGUUUCCGCCCCUUAGUGCUGCAGCUAACGCAUUAAGCACUCCGCCUGGGGAGUACGGUCGCAAGACUGAAACUCAAAGGAAUUGACGGGGGCCCGCACAAGCGGUGGAGCAUGUGGUUUAAUUCGAAGCAACGCGAAGAACCUUACCAGGUCUUGACAUCCUCUGACAAUCCUAGAGAUAGGACGUCCCCUUCGGGGGCAGAGUGACAGGUGGUGCAUGGUUGUCGUCAGCUCGUGUCGUGAGAUGUUGGGUUAAGUCCCGCAACGAGCGCAACCCUUGAUCUUAGUUGCCAGCAUUCAGUUGGGCACUCUAAGGUGACUGCCGGUGACAAACCGGAGGAAGGUGGGGAUGACGUCUUAUCAUCAUGCCCCUUAUGACCUGGGCUACACACGUGCUACAAUGGACAGAACAAAGGGC
rnacentral:rRNA from 1 species